rnacentral:tRNA from 1 species
AAUAAUUUAUUAUUUUAUAUAUAUAUAUUAUAUAUAUAUAAAAUAAUAAAUAUUU